GGAGGAAGGUGGGGAUGACGUCAAGUCCUCAUGGCCCUUACGUGUUGGGCUACACACGUGCUACAAUGGUAUCUACAACAGGAAGCAAGACUGCGAGGUCAAGCAAAUCCUUAAAAGAUACCUCAGUUCGGAUUGCACUCUGCAACUCGAGUGCAUGAAGCUGGAAUUACUAGUAAUCGUGGAUCAGCGUGCCACGGUGAAUGCGUUCCCGGGUCUUGUACACACCGCCCGUCACACCAUGGGAGUUGGUUCUACCUUAAGGCAAGGUUUCAAACCCUUGACCACGGUAUAGUCAGCGACUGGGGUGAAGUCGUAACAAGGUAAA
rnacentral:rRNA from 1 species